GCAAGUCGAACGGUAACAGCAGAGCUUGCUCUGGCUGACGAGUGGCGCACGGGUGCGUAACGCGUAUACAAUCUACCUAUUACUGGGGUAUAGCCCGAAGAAAUUUGGAUUAAUCCCCCAUAGUAUUAUUGAAUGGCAUCAUUUUAUAAUUAAAACUACGGUGGUAAUAGAUGAGUAUGCGUCCUAUUAGUUUGUUGGUAAGGUAACGGCUUACCAAGGCAUCGAUAGGUAGGGGUCCUGAGAGGGAGAUCCCCCACACUGGUACUGUGACACGGACCAGACUCCUACGGGAGGCAGCAGUGAGGAAUAUUGGACAAUGGAGGAAACUCUGAUCCAGCCAUGCCGCGUGCAGGAAGACUGCCCUAUGGGUUGUAAACUGCUUUUAUAGAGGAAGAAACCUUCUUACGUGUAAGAAGCUGACGGUACUCUACGAAUAAGGAUCGGCUAACUCCGUGCCAGCAGCCGCGGUAAUACGGAGGAUCCAAGCGUNAUCCGGAAUCAU
rnacentral:rRNA from 1 species